GCCCGAAUGGCGAAAUUGGUAGACGCAAGGGACUUAAAAUCCCUCGCCCUUUGGGCGUCCCGGUUCGACCCCGGGUUCGGGCACCA
rnacentral:tRNA from 1 species